rnacentral:rRNA from 1 species
AUUGAACGCUGGCGGCAGGCUUAACACAUGCAAGUCGAGCGGGGGAGGUUGCUUCGGUAACUGACCUAGCGGCGGACGGGUGAGUAAUGCUUAGGAAUCUGCCUAUUAGUGGGGGACAACAUUCCGAAAGGAAUGCUAAUACCGCAUACGCCCUACGGGGGAAAGCAGGGGAUCUUCGGACCUUGCGCUAAUAGAUGAGCCUAAGUCGGAUUAGCUAGUUGGUGGGGUAAAGGCCUACCAAGGCGACGAUCUGUAGCGGGUCUGAGAGGAUGAUCCGCCACACUGGGACUGAGACACGGCCCAGACUCCUACGGGAGGCAGCAGUGGGGAAUAUUGGACAAUGGGCGGAAGCCUGAUCCAGCCAUGCCGCGUGUGUGAAGAAGGCCUUUUGGUUGUAAAGCACCUUAAGCGAGGAGGAGGCUCUUAAGGUUAAUACCCUUGAUGAGUGGACGUUACUCGCAGAAUAAGCACCGGCUAACUCUGUGCCAGCAGCCGCAGUAA